UAAAGACCUAUAAAUAUCCCGAUAAAUAAUAUCAAUAGAUAAAAACUCAAAGAAUUUGGCGGUGUCUUAUAUCCUCAGGGGAACCUGUUACUUAAUUCGAUAAUCCACGUUAUUCCGUCCCUUUUUUGAAAAUUCAGCCUGUGUACUGCUGUCGUCAGUAAACCUUUAAGAGUAAGUUUACCCCAAUAAUUUAAAAUUAUUUACGUCAAGUCAAAGUGCAGCUUAUAAAAGAUUUGGUGAAAAAUGGGUUACAAUCUAAAAUAUGGACAACAAAAAUUUCAGUUAAAUAGAAAUUGAAGGUGGACUUGAUAGUAAUAAUCACAUCAUACUAUUAUGAACAAUUAAUCUAAGACAUGUACACAUCGCCCGUCGCUCUCACCCAAAAUG
rnacentral:rRNA from 1 species